GUGGGGAAUAUUGGACAAUGGGCGCAAGCCUGAUCCAGCAAUGCCGCGUGUGUGAAGAAGGUCUUCGGAUUGUAAAGCACUUUCGGCGGGGACGAUGAUGACGGUACCCGCAGAAGAAGCCCCGGCUAACUUCGUGCCAGCAGCCGCGGUAAUACGAAGGGGGCUAGCGUUGCUCGGAAUGACUGGGCGUAAAGGGCGCGUAGGCGGUUCACGCAGUCAGAUGUGAAAUUCCCGGGCUUAACCUGGGGGCGGCAUUUGAGACGCGGGAACUUGAGUGGGGAAGAGGGUCGUGGAAUUCCCAGUGUAGAGGUGAAAUUCGUAGAUAUUGGGAAGAACACCGGUGGCGAAGGCGGCGACUUGGUCCUUGACUGACGCUGAGGCGCGAAAGCGUGGGGAGCAAACAGG
rnacentral:rRNA from 1 species